rnacentral:rRNA from 1 species
UACGGAGGGAGCUAGCGUUGUUCGGAAUUACUGGGCGUAAAGCGCACGUAGGCGGCUUUUUAAGUCAGGGGUGAAAUCCCGGGGCUCAACCCCGGAACUGCCCUUGAAACUGGAGAGCUAGAAUCUUGGAGAGGCGAGUGGAAUUCGAGUGUAGAGGUGAAAUUCGUAGAUAUUCGGAAGAACACCAGUAGGCGAAGGCGACUGCGCUAGGGCAA